rnacentral:rRNA from 1 species
ACGGAAGGCAGCAGUGGGGAAUAUUGGACAAUGGGGGAAACCCUGAUCCAGCGACGCCGCGUGAGUGAAGAAGUAUUUCGGUAUGUAAAGCUCUAUCAGCAGGAAAGAAAAUGACGGUACCUGACUAAGAAGCCCCGGCUAACUACGUGCCAGCAGCCGCGGUAAUACGUAGGGGGCAAGCGUUAUCCGGAUUUACUGGGUGUAAAGGGAGCGUAGACGGUUUUGCAAGUCUGAAGUGAAAUGCGGGGGCUCAACCCCUGAACUGCUUUGGAAACUGUAGAACUAGAGUGCAGGAGAGGUAAGCGGAAUUCCUAGUGUAGCGGUGAAAUGCGUAGAUAUUAGGAGGAACACCAGUGGCGAAGGCGGCUUACUGGACUGUAACUGACGUUGAGGCUCGAAGGCGUGGGGAGCAAACAGGAUUAGAUACCCUGGUA